UACGUAGGUGGCAAGCGUUGUUCGGAAUUACUGGGCGUAAAGGGCGCGUAGGCGGCUUAGCAAGUCAGAUGUGAAAGCCCCGGGCUUAACUCGGGAAUUGCAUCUGAAACUGCUUUGCUUGAGUCCUGGAGGGGAUAGUGGAAUUCCCAGUGUAGCGGUGAAAUGCGUAGAUAUUGGGAGGAACACCUGCGGCGAAGGCGGCUAUCUGGACAGUGACUGACGCUGAGGCGCGAAAGCUAGGGGAGCAAACAGG
rnacentral:rRNA from 1 species